AGUUGUGUGUUAGAGAUGUGCAUCAAUGUGCAUCUGUGUGCGUGAGUGUGCGUGCGUGUGCGUGUGUGUGUGCAUGCAUGUGUGUGCAUGUGUGUGUGUGUGUGCAUGCAUGUGUGUGCAUGUGUGUGUGUGUGUGUACACGUGCAGCCUUCCACACAGCUGCAGCCAUCUGCUUCUCUGUCUGUUGGCAUUCAGGAGGGAAUGAGAAGUCUUGCUCCAGAGAAGCUUAUA
rnacentral:sRNA from 1 species